rnacentral:misc_RNA from 1 species
GCGAACGAAUUAACUAAGAAAACAAAAUGGAGUCGAAAACGAAAAAGUCAGAAGAUGCAGAUAACAAACCAGUUGUUGUUUUAAAAGGACCAACAGAUAUCCAAAGGCUUAAGCUGGAAAAAUUGAUGAGAAAUCCGAACAAAGAAGCAUUCAUACCAGAAAAAUCGAAAGAAAAGGAACCAAGGGCGCCUCAUGAAUUUAUCAGGAAUGUCUGGGGUAAAAUAAGAUGCUAAAGUUAAUCUCCAUUGUUUGUGAUUUUAGAAUAGAGAAAUUCAAAGUGUUCAAAUGAAAAAAUUUGACUACCGGUAAUCAGUAAACACCUCUCAAAAGAAUAUAAUUAUCUUACUGGAUAUAGAUAUGUAUUGGCAGAGAGAGAGAGAGAUUGAUGAUACGUGGUGUAACAUUUUCAUGACAGGUUCAAGUGCUGGGGCUGGAAGUGGGGAUUUUCAUGUGUAUAGAGGGGUCCGGCGCAGGGAAUAUGCAAGACAAAAGUUCAUUGAUGAAAAGGCUGAAAAAACUGCAAAGGAUCAAGAAUAUCAGAAAAAGAUAGAGCAGAAUCAAAAGGCAGCCGAUGAGAGAACAGCCAAGAAAAGAGCCAAAAGAAAUAAAAAAAAGCAGAAACUUAAAGCUAAAAAGAGCAAGCCAUCUGAAGAAACAACCAAAAAGGAAGAAAACGAUGACAGUGAAGAGGAAGAAGAUUCUGAUGAAGAGGAUGAGGAGAGGAGUGGGCAGGCGUCCGAUAAACAACCCACGGAGCAGACAGGUGAAGGGAGCGACGAGGAGAGAGACAUUCGGUGACAAGACGAGGGAGUGGCUCCCCAGACACGGAGACGGUGAGAGACGGACAGUAACCAGACAUACGGAGAAUGUUAGACAGAGGGUCUGCAAUGUGGUUCGAAUGUGGCUGUGUAAAGAAAAUUGAGCAGGGGUUGAUUUCAUUGCAUCAACACAUCCUUGCUGCACUGUACUGCCCCAUGUUUCACCCACCGUUGCUUGGAUCAUUUCAAUUUUCAAAUCAUUUUGAUCACAUCCUUGCUUCUACAUGCAUGUAAUAUUUUUGAUCGUAUUCAGCACAUCAUUGCUGGUACCAGUUUUAGUGUGAGGACAAAGUAGUUUUUGUACUAAAACAUGAAAAACUUGUCAGAUAUGAUUUUUGUCAAAACAUUUUUCAUGUACAGUACUGUAUUUUAUUAAAAUGGAGUUUGUAUAUAAAGGAUAUCCUACAAUUUGUGAAGCGAUAUAUAAAUGCAUAAUUUAGAUUUCAGAGUUAUAUGAAUUCUAUAUUAAUUUUGCAAUUGGUAAGGGGAUUGGAAAACUUAAGUGAGAAAGAACAGCAUAUCGCACCAGUCUCAGGUGUGCAUGUUUGUUGACAAAUUCCAUUGGAUUUAUGCUUUCUCAGUAUGUUUCUAAAUGUACAUGUAUAUAUCAAUAAAAUAGUUAUAUGCGUGAUAUUUUCCUCUC